AUUGAACGCUGGCGGCAUGCUUUACACAUGCAAGUCGAACGGUAACAGGCCGCAAGGUGCUGACGAGUGGCGAACGGGUGAGUAAUGCAUCGGAACGUGCCCAGUCGUGGGGGAUAACGCAGCGAAAGCUGCGCUAAUACCGCAUACGAUCUAUGGCUGAAAGCGGGGGACCGUAAGGCCACGCGCGAUUGGAGCGGCCGAUGUCAGAUUAGGUAGUUGGUGGGGUAAAGGCUCACCAAGCCAACGAUCUGUAGCUGGUCUGAGAGGACGACCAGCCACACUGGGACUGAGACCCGGCCCAGACUCCUACGGGAGGCAGCAGUGGGGAAUUUUGGACAAUGGGCGCAAGCCUGAUCCAGCAAUGCCGCGUGCAGGAAGAAGGCCUUCGGGUUGUAAACUGCUUUUGUACGGAACGAAACGGUCCUGGUUAAUACCUGGGGCUAAUGACGGUACCGUAAGAAUAAGCACCGGCUAACUACGUGCCAGCAGCCGCCGCCGUAA
rnacentral:rRNA from 1 species